UUGGAGGGCAAGUCUGGUGCCAGCAGCCGCGGUAAUUCCAGCUCCAAUAGCGUAUAUUAAAGUUGUUGCAGUUAAAAAGCUCGUAGUUGAAUUUCGGGAUCAAGGAAUCGGUCAUGCCUUGGUAUGUACUGGUUUUAUUGGUUCUCACCUUCUAAAGAACCAUAAUGUCAUUUAUUUGAUGUUAUGGGGAAUUAGGACUGUUACCUUGAAAAAAUUAGAGUGUUCAAAGCAAGCUUACGCUUGAAUACAUUAGCAUGGAAUAAUGAAAUAGGACAUCAGAUUCUAUUUUGUUGGUUUCUAGGAUCGAUGUAAUGAUUAAUAGGGAUAGUUGGGGGCAUUAGUAUUCAAUUGUCAGAGGUGAAAUUCUUGGAUUUAUUGAAGACUAACUACUGCGAAAGCAUUUGCCAAGGAUGUUUUCAUUAAUCAAGAACGAAAGUUAGGGGAUCGAAGACGAUCAGAUACCGUCGUAGUCUUAACCAUAAACUAUGCCGACUAGGGAUCGGAUGAUGUUAAUUUUUUAAUGACUCAUUCGGCGCCUUACGGGAAAC
rnacentral:rRNA from 1 species